rnacentral:rRNA from 1 species
GGAUGGCGCUGUAGCGUCGUGCCUAUACUCGGCCGUCAACGGCAAAGUGGGCGGCCCCCUCGCGGGGGUCGGGCCGUUACGCCUUGAAAAGUAGGAGGGUCGCGGCGGUGUGCACUGAAGGGUCACGGCGUGAGCCGGCCUGGAGCCGCCGUCGGCGCAGAUCUUGGUGGUAGUAGCAAAUACUCCAGCGAGGACCUGGAGGACUGACGUGGAGAAGGGUUUCUUGUGAACAGCUGUUGCACAAGAGUCAGUCGACCCUAAGCCCUAGGAGAAAUCCCACGUUGAUG